GAUGAACGCUGGCGGCGUGCCUAACACAUGCAAGUCGAGCGAUUCUCUUCGGAGAAGAGCGGCGGACGGGUGAGUAACGCGUGGGUAACCUGCCCUGUACACACGGAUAACAUACCGAAAGGUAUGCUAAUACGAGAUCAUAUACUUUUAUCGCAUGGGAGAAGUAUCAAAGCUUUUGCGGUACAGGAUGGACCCGCGUCUGAUUAGCUAGUUGGUAGGGUAACGGCUUACCAAGGCGACGAUCAGUAGCCGACCUGAGAGGGUGAUCGGCCACAUUGGAACUGCGACACGGUCCAAACUCCUACGGGAUGCAGCAGCGGGGAAUAUUGCACAAUGGGCGAAAGCCUGAUGCAGCAACGCCGCGUGAGCGAUGAAGGCCUUCGGGUCGUAAAGCUCUGUCCUCAAGGAAGAUAAUGACGGUACUUGAGGAGGAAGCCCCGGCUAACUACGUGCCAGCCGCCGCCGUAAGAC
rnacentral:rRNA from 1 species